rnacentral:rRNA from 1 species
CAGGUAGGCGGCAGCCAAAGUCGGACGUGAAAGCUCCUGGCUUAACCGGGAGAGGCCGUUCGAAACUAGGAGGCUAGAGGGUGGUAGAGGCGUGUGGAAUUCCGGGUGGAGUGGUGAAAUGCGUAGAGAUCCGGAGGAACACCAGAGGCGAAGGCGGCACGCUGGGCCACACCUGACGCUGAGCUGCGAAAGCGUGGGUAGCGAACG